rnacentral:rRNA from 1 species
AUUGAACGCUGGCGGCAGGCCUAACACAUGCAAGUCGAGCGGAUGAAGGGAGCUUGCUCCUGGAUUCAGCGGCGGACGGGUGAGUAAUGCCUAGGAAUCUGCCUGGUAGUGGGGGAUAACGUCCGGAAACGGGCGCUAAUACCGCAUACGUCCUGAGGGAGAAAGUGGGGGAUCUUCGGACCUCACGCUAUCAGAUGAGCCUAGGUCGGAUUAGCUAGUUGGUGGGGUAAAGGCCUACCAAGGCGACGAUCCGUAACUGGUCUGAGAGGAUGAUCAGUCACACUGGAACUGAGACACGGUCCAGACUCCUACGGGAGGCAGCAGUGGGGAAUAUUGAACAAUGGGCGAAAGCCUGAUCCAGCCAUGCCGCGUGUGUGAAGAAGGUCUUCGGAUUGUAAAGCACUUUAAGUUGGGAGGAAGGGCAGUAAGUUAAUACCUUGCUGUUUUGACGUUACCAACAGAAUAAGCACCGGCUAACUUCGU